AUGCACACACGUCAUUCUCGAAUAUGGUUUGAAAUGAAUCAACAUCAUAUUUCAAAUGGUCACCGGGAUCAAAGGGGUAGAGUGUCCAUGGACACAGGUGGAGGACAUACUUCCUUUCCCGAAGACUACCACCAUUACACUCAUUGACACCCUCUAUACUAACAUGAUCUACAACAAAAACAACUAGAGGGUCAUCCUUAGUCAAUCGGACAACAUGUUCAACAUCACCAUUUUCACACACAAGUUGGUCUUCAUGACUUCCAUAAGACAAUGUACUAU
rnacentral:lncRNA from 1 species